UGAGUAACGCGUGGGAAUCUACCCAUCUCUACGGAACAACUCCGGGAAACUGGAGCUAAUACCGUAUACGUCCUUCGGGAGAAAGAUUUAUCGGAGAUGGAUGAGCCCGCGUUGGAUUAGCUAGUUGGUGGGGUAAUGGCCUACCAAGGCGACGAUCCAUAGCUGGUCUGAGAGGAUGAUCAGCCACAUUGGGACUGAGACACGGCCCAAACUCCUACGGGAGGCAGCAGUGGGGAAUAUUGGACAAUGGGCGAAAGCCUGAUCCAGCCAUGCCGCGUGAGUGAUGAAGGCCCUAGGGUUGUAAAGCUCUUUCAACGGUGAAGAUAAUGACGGUAACCGUAGAAGAAGCCCCGGCUAACUUCGUGCCAGCAGCCGCGGUAAUACGAAGGGGGCUAGCGUUGUUCGGAAUUACUGGGCGUAAAGCGCACGUAGGCGGAUUGUUAAGUUAGGGGUGAAAUCCCGGGGCUCAACCCCGGAACUGCCUUUAAUACUGGCAAUCUCGAGUCCGAGAGAGGUGAGUGGAAUUCCGAGUGUAGAGGUGAAAUUCGUAGAUAUUCGGAGGAACACCAGUGGCGAA
rnacentral:rRNA from 4 species